UCUAACUUAGUUUCCUCUCCAAAAGCUUAGUAGCUUUUGUGUUUGCUCCAAAAGCUCCCAAACUUUUGCUUUUGUAAAAUGGAACCUUCCAGUUGCCUUUCUUAAUGGAAACUUCUUACUUCACCAAAAAAAAAAAAAAAAGAUAUUUCGAAUUGACAAUGGCACAGAAUACAUGGAUAAAACUUUUGGAGCUUACUUGGAGUCUUUUGGGAUAAUCCAUCAAACUAGUUGUCCUUAUACUAGUGCACAAAAUAGGGUUCUUUGAGAAAGAAAAAAUAGGCAUUUGUUAGAAGUAGCAAGAUCCCUUUUGUUUACCAUGAAUCUGCCGAAGCCUUACUGGGGGAUGCCAUUCUAGUAGUUGUCUACCUCAUCAAUAAAAUGCCACUUAAAACUCUUAAUUUUCAGAGUCCUUUAGAAGCUUUAAAGGGUAAAAAUGACUAUACUGUUCCUCCAAAGAUAUUUGGGUGUAUUUGCUUUGUUCACACUAGGAACUCUGGGAAACUUGAACCUAGAGCUCUUAAAUGUGUUUUUAUUGGGUUUUCUCCAACACAGAAAGGGUACAAAUGUUAUCACCCUCCUUCUAGGAGAUUCUUUGUCAGUAUGGAAGUUACCUUUCGGGAAUCUGAACCCUAUUUCAGUGUUACACCAUCACCUCUUUAGGGGGAGAAUUAUAAGGAAGAAGUCAUGGUUUUUCCAAGUUCCACUGUUGAAACUACUGCCACAAGGGAAAGUGAAAUUGGAGAAAGAAUUCAGGGGGAGAAUGUUGGGCGUUUGGAUAGGCCUGAUUUGAUAACUUACUCAAGGAGAAAUAGAGCAGAAGAAGCCAUCAUGCAACCUGCCGAAGCCGAACCUUCUUCUUCUGAAUUGGAGGGAAGCUUUUGCAGAUUCUAAAUGGAAGCAAGCUAUGAUGGAAGAAAUGAAGGCCUUAUCAAAGAAUGAGACUUGGGAACUUGUCGCAUCACCACCCGACAAGAAGUUGGUUGGUUGCAAAUGGGUCUUCACUGUAAAAUAUAAAGCUGAUAGUUCCAUUGAAAGAUUCAAAGCAAGAUUGGUGGCUAAAGGAUUCACUCAGACUUAUGGAGUGGAUUAUCAAGAGACAUUUGCUCCUGUUGCAAAAAUGAACACUAUUAGAAUUCUUUUGUCUUGUGCAGUUAAUCUUGAAUGGGACUUACAACAAUUUGAUGUGAAGAAUGCAUUUCUUCAUGCAGACUUAGAAGAAGAGGUGUACAUGGA